UCCCAUGUGGCCCAGUUGGUAGAGCAUGGUGUUUGCAACGCCAGGGUUGUGGGUUUGAUUCCCACGGGGGAC
rnacentral:tRNA from 1 species